AAAAUGCAGUGGCAUAAGGCCGAAGUUUCUGUCUUUUUGCAAAAGUGGUCAAAGUUUAGAACAAAAAUAGUUCACACAAAGAAGAUUUGAAAGUGGAGGGAGAGAUUUUGAAAUUAAAGAAAUGGGGAGAAGAUGAAGAAACAACCUUAUGCACAAAAUUUAAAAGUUUAAAGUUGAAAAGAUCUGACCAAAUGGGUAGCAAUCCAAU
rnacentral:lncRNA from 1 species